rnacentral:rRNA from 1 species
GUACGGAAGGCAGCAGUGGGGAAUAUUGCGCAAUGGGCGAAAGCCUGACGCAGCGACGCCGCGUGGGUGACGAAGGCCUUCGGGUCGUAAAACCCUGUCGGGUGGAACGAAUCUCCUCUCUCCGAACAGGGGAGAGGAUUGACGGUACCACCGAAGAAAGCCCCGGCUAACUACGUGCCAGCAGCCGCGGUAAUACGUAGGGGGCGAGCGUUGUUCGGAUUUACUGGGCGUAAAGAGCGCGUAGGCGGUUCGAUUAGUCGGAUGUGAAAUCCCUCGGCUCAACCGAGGAUCCGCGUCCGAUACUGUCGAACUUGAGUGCAGGAGAGGAGAGCGGAAUUCCCAGUGUAGCGGUGAAAUGCGUAGAUACUGGGAGGAACACCGGUGGCGAAGGCGGCUCUCUGGACUGCCACUGACGCUGAGGCGCGAAAGCUAGGGGAGCAAACGGGAUUAGAUACCCCGGUAGC